rnacentral:tRNA from 1 species
GGGCUGUAGCUCAAUUGGGAGAGCGUUUGACUGGCAGUCAAAAGGUAGGGGGUUCGAAUCCCCCCAGCUCC